rnacentral:rRNA from 1 species
GCAGUCGAACGGCAGCACGGACUUCGGUCUGGUGGCGAGUGGCGAACGGGUGAGUAAUAUAUCGGAACGUGCCCAGUCGUGGGGGAUAACGUAGUGAAAAUUACGCUAAUACCGCAUACGAUCUAAGGAUGAAAGCGGGGGAUCGCAAGACCUCGCGCGAUUGGAGCGGCCGAUAUCAGAUUAGGUAGUUGGUGAGGUAAAGGCUCACCAAGCCAACGAUCUGUAGCUGGUCUGAGAGGACGACCAGCCACACUGGAACUGAGACACGGUCCAGACUCCUACGGGAGGCAGCAGUGGGGAAUUUUGGACAAUGGACGCAAGUCUGAUCCAGCCAUUCCGCGUGCAGGACGAAGGCCUUCGGGUUGUAAACUGCUUUUGUACAGAACGAAAAGGUCUCUAUUAAUACUAGGGGCUCAUGACGGUACUGUAAGAAUAAGCACCGGCUAACUACGUGCCAGCAGCCGCGGUAAUACGUAGGGUGCAAGCGUUAAUCGGAAUUACUGGGCGUAAAGCGUGCGCAGGCGGUUAUGUAAGACAGAUGUGAAAUCCCCGGGCUCAACCUGGGAACUGCAUUUGUGACUGCAUAGCUGGAGUGCGGCAGAGGGGGAUGGAAUUCCGCGUGUAGCAGUGAAAUGCGUAGAUAUGCGGAGGAACACCGAUGGCGAAGGCAAUCCCCUGGGCCUGCACUGACGCUCAUGCACGAAAGCGUGGGGAGCAAACAGGAUUAGAUACCCUGGUAGUCCACGCCCUAAACGAUGUCAACUGGUUGUUGGGUCUUCACUGACUCAGUAACGAAGCUAACGCGUGAAGUUGACCGCCUG